rnacentral:rRNA from 1 species
AGGGAAUCUUCCGCAAUGGACGAAAGUCUGACGGAGCAACGCCGCGUGAGUGAAGAAGGCCUUCGGGUCGUAAAACUCUGUUGCCGGGGAAGAACAAGUGCCGUUCGAACAGGGCGGCGCCUUGACGGUACCCGGCCAGAAAGCCACGGCUAACUACGUGCCAGCAGCCGCGGUAAUACGUAGGUGGCAAGCGUUGUCCGGAAUUAUUGGGCGUAAAGCGCGCGCAGGCGGCUGUUUAAGUCUGGUGUAUAAUCCUGGGGCUCAACUCCGAGUCGCACUGGAAACUGGAUGGCUUGAGUGCAGAAGAGGAGAGUGGAAUUCCACGUGUAGCGGUGAAAUGCGUAGAGAUUAGGAAGAAUACCAGUGGCGAAGGCGGCUUUCUGGACUGUAACUGACGCUGAGGCAUGAAAGCGUGGGGAGCAAAC